ensembl:misc_RNA Metazoa_SRP Metazoan signal recognition particle RNA
GCUGGGCAUGGUGGCGCAUGCCUGUAAUCCCAGCUACUUGGGAGGCUGAGGCAGGAGAAUCGCUUGAACUCAGGAGGCAGAGGUUGCAGUGAGCUGAGAUUGAGCCAUUGCACUCCAGCGGGGGAGACAUGAGUGAAACUCCAUCUCAAAAAAAAAAAAAGACUAUCAAGAUGGAUGUAAUUAUUUAUGUAUGUAUGUUUAUAUGUAUGUAUGUAUUUAUUUGAGAUGGAGUCACACUCUCUUGCCCAGGCUGGAGUGCAGUAGUGCAAACUCUGCUCACUGCAGCCUCUGCCUCUUGAGUUCAAGCGAUUCUCCUGCCUCAG